GUGGGAACGAAAGAAGAUCACAUGACGAUCAUAUGAGCUUUUCUAUUCCUUUUCCCUUUUUAUAAGUAGGGCCUUCAGGAAUUAAAAGAGAGCAAAAGAUACUUUAGGGGAGCAGAGAGGAGAAAGAAAGAGGAUUCUUUUUGGAGUUAAGGAGAUAAGACGGGAUUUUUAUAAAGUACCAAAACUCUGACCUCUAGAUGGCAGAGGAUGGUGGGGAGCAAGCA
rnacentral:lncRNA from 1 species